UGGGGAAUAUUGCACAAUGGGCGCAAGCCUGAUGCAGCCAUGCCGCGUGUGUGAAGAAGGCCUUCGGGUUGUAAAGCACUUUCAGCGAGGAGGAAGGUGGUGAACUUAAUACGUUCAUCAAUUGACGUUACUCGCAGAAGAAGCACCGGCUAACUCCGUGCCAGCAGCCGCGGUAAUACGGAGGGUGCAAGCGUUAAUCGGAAUUACUGGGCGUAAAGCGCACGCAGGCGGUUUGUUAAGUCAGAUGUGAAAUCCCCGGGCUCAACCUGGGAACUGCAUUUGAAAACUGGCAAGCUAGAGUCUCGUAGAGGGGGUGAGAAUUCCAGGUGUAGCGGUGAAAUGCGUAGAGAUCUGGAGGAAUACCGGUGGCGAAGGCGGCCCCCUGGACGAAGACUGACGCUCAGGUGCGAAAAGCGUGGGGAGCAAAACAGGAUUAGAUACCCUGGUAGUCCACGCUGUAAAACGAUGUCGAUUUUGGAGGUUGUGCCCUUGAGGCGUGGCUUCCGGAGCUAACGCGUUAAAUCGACCGCCUGGGGAGUACGGCCGCAAGGUU
rnacentral:rRNA from 1 species